rnacentral:tRNA from 1 species
GCCCUCGUAGCUCAGUGGACAGAGCGCCCGCCUCCGAAGCGGGAGGCCGCCGGUUCGACUCCGGCUGAGGGUA